UGCAAUGAAAUGACACGGAAAGAGAACAAAUUAAUCUCAACAAUACUUUUAUAUGAAACAACACCCCUUUAUUUUUAAUACCGGUUCAAAAUGUUAGUGAAAUCUAAUGAAAAGUUUAUUGGAAAUACUGAUUGGAAUCAACCUCUGUUCCAUCAAAACUAUUGAACUUAUUCUCCUCCAAUCUCCCAUCAUAUCAAUUCUUUAUGGAUUUUUUGAAUCCUAUUAUCUACA
rnacentral:lncRNA from 1 species